GGGGGGGUGGCCAAGCGGUAAAGGCACCUGGGCGUUACAGGUCCGGGGUUAUUCGUUGGUUCGAAUCCAACUCCCCCCA
rnacentral:tRNA from 1 species